UACGUAGGGUGCGAGCGUUGUCCGGAAUUACUGGGCGUAAAGAGCUUGUAGGUGGUUUGUCGCGUUGUUCGUGAAAUCUCACGGCUUAACUGUGAGCGUGCGGGCGAUACGGGCAGACUAGAGUACUGCAGGGGAGACUGGAAUUCCUGGUGUAGCGGUGGAAUGCGCAGAUAUCAGGAGGAACACCGAUGGCGAAGGCGGCUUCCUGGUCUGCAACUGACGCUGUGGCGCGAAAGCUAGGGGAGCAAACGGG
rnacentral:rRNA from 1 species